rnacentral:rRNA from 1 species
UAGGGAAUCUUCCACAAUGGACGAAAGUCUGAUGGAGCAACGCCGCGUGAGUGAAGAAGGUUUUCGGAUCGUAAAGCUCUGUUGUUGGUGAAGAAGGAUAGAGGCAGUAACUGGUCUUUAUUUGACGGUAAUCAACCAGAAAGUCACGGCUAACUACGUGCCAA